GAGAGAUAUGGUUUAAGUAAAGUAUAAUCUAGCGAAGGACGAGUAGGUAAAGGCGGGAGCGGCGCCAUUACUCGAAGCGAAAAGAAACUAUAGAAUGAAGCAGAAGCCUGAAUGAAAGAAUGAAGAUUAAAAAAAAUCGGAGAAGACGAAGAAGAAGUAAAGAGAAGCGAAAGAGAAGUUUCGCCGGAAAAGACGAGGAAGAAAUAAAAAGGGGAUAGAAAAGACAAAGGGAAUGAGAAGCUUAGGAAAGAAAAAAAGAUCGUCGCAUCGAACCAUUGCAUCAAAACGAGUUCCGAGGUCGGCUAUAAUGAUGAAUAGACGACCGUAAUUAAGAUGACCUAAUUA
rnacentral:lncRNA from 1 species